GACGAACGCUGGCGGCGUGCCUAACACAUGCAAGUCGAACGGAGAUACGAUUUCGGUUGUAUCUUAGUGGCGAACGGGUGAGUAACGCGUGAGCAACCUGACUCUUAGAGGGGGAUAACACCUGGAAACAAGUGCUAAUACCGCAUAAGACCACGACCCGGCAUCGGGAUGAGGUCAAAGGAGCAAUCCGCUGAGAGAGGGGCUCGCGUCCCAUUAGAUAGAUGGCGGGGUAACGGCCCACCAUGUCAGCGAUGGGUAGCCGAGCUGAGAGGCUGAUCGGCCACACUGGAACUGAGACACGGUCCAGACUCCUACGGGAGGCAGCAGUGGGGAAUAUUGGGCAAUGGGCGCAAGCCUGACCCAGCAACGCCGCGUGAGGGAAGAAGGCUUUCGGGUUGUAAACCUCCGUCCUUGGUGACGAAACAAAUGACGGUAGCCAAGGAGGAAGCCCCGGCUAACUACGUGCCAGCAGCCGCCGUAA
rnacentral:rRNA from 1 species